rnacentral:rRNA from 1 species
GACAGAGGUGCCAAGCGUUAGGCGGAAUCACUGGGCUUAAAGCGUGUGUAGGUGGAAGCGUAAGUACCUUGUGAAAUCCCACGGCUUAACCGUGGAACUGCUUGGUAUACUGCGUUUCUUGAGCCAACUAGGGGCUAUCGGAACAAGUGGUGGAGCGGUGAAAUGCGUAGAGAUCGGAAGGAACACCAGUGGCGAAGGCGGCUACCUGGACAAAUACUGACGCUGAGGCGCGAGAGCGUGGGGAGCAAACAGG